rnacentral:tRNA from 1 species
GUUAUUAAAACAAGGUUUUUUGUUUAUUACAAUAAUAUUGUAAUAAACAAGAAUGAAG